AAAUUGAAGAGUUUGAUCAUGGCUCAGAUUGAACGCUGGCGGCAGGCCUAACACAUGCAAGUCGAGCGGUAGCACAGAGAGCUUGCUCUCGGGUGACGAGCGGCGGACGGGUGAGUAAUGUCUGGGAAACUGCCUGAUGGAGGGGGAUAACUACUGGAAACGGUAGCUAAUACCGCAUAACGUCGCAAGACCAAAGUGGGGGACCUUCGGGCCUCAUGCCAUCAGAUGUGCCCAGAUGGGAUUAGCUAGUAGGUGGGGUAACGGCUCACCUAGGCGACGAUCCCUAGCUGGUCUGAGAGGAUGACCAGCCACACUGGAACUGAGACACGGUCCAGACUCCUACGGGAGGCAGCAGUGGGGAAUAUUGCACAAUGGGCGCAAGCCUGAUGCAGCCAUGCCGCGUGUGUGAAGAAGGCCUUCGGGUUGUAAAGCACUUUCAGCGGGGAGGAAGGCGAUAAGGUUAAUAACCUUGUCGAUUGACGUUACCCGCAGAAGAAGCACCGGCUAACUCCGUGCCAGCAGCCGCGGUAAUACGGAGGGUGCAAGCGUUAAUCGGAAUUACUGGGCGUAAAGCGCACGCAGGCGGUCUGUCAAGUCGGAUGUGAAAUCCCCGGGCUCAACCUGGGAACUGCAUUCGAAACUGGCAGGCUAGAGUCUUGUAGAGGGGGGUAGAAUUCCAGGUGUAGCGGUGAAAUGCGUAGAGAUCUGGAGGAAUACCGGUGGCGAAGGCGGCCCCCUGGACAAAGACUGACGCUCAGGUGCGAAAGCGUGGGGAGCAAACAGGAUUAGAUACCCUGGUAGUCCACGCCGUAAACGAUGUCGAUUUGGAGGUUGUGCCCUUGAGGCGUGGCUUCCGGAGCUAACGCGUUAAAUCGACCGCCUGGGGAGUACGGCCGCAAGGUUAAAACUCAAAUGAAUUGACGGGGGCCCGCACAAGCGGUGGAGCAUGUGGUUUAAUUCGAUGCAACGCGAAGAACCUUACCUGGUCUUGACAUCCACAGAACUUUCCAGAGAUGGAUUGGUGCCUUCGGGAACUGUGAGACAGGUGCUGCAUGGCUGUCGUCAGCUCGUGUUGUGAAAUGUUGGGUUAAGUCCCGCAACGAGCGCAACCCUUAUCCUUUGUUGCCAGCGGU
rnacentral:rRNA from 2 species